rnacentral:rRNA from 1 species
AACGAACGCUGGCGGCAGGCUUAACACAUGCAAGUCGAACGCAGACGGCGGGGUGAGUGGCAGACGGGUGAGUAACGCGUGGGAACGUGCCCUUCAGUUCGGGAUAACCCAGGGAAACUUGGGCUAAUACCGGAUACGUGCGAGAGCAGAAAGAUUUAUCGCUGAAGGAUCGGCCCGCGUCUGAUUAGCUAGUUGGUGGGGUAAUGGCCCACCAAGGCGACGAUCAGUAGCUGGUCUGAGAGGAUGAUCAGCCACAUUGGGACUGAGACACGGCCCAAACUCCUACGGGAGGCAGCAGUGGGGAAUAUUGGACAAUGGGCGCAAGCCUGAUCCAGCCAUGCCGCGUGAGUGAUGAAGGCCUUAGGGUUGUAAAGCUCUUUCGUCCGGGACGAUAAUGACGGUACCGGAAGAAGAAGCCCCGGCUAACUUCGUGCCAGCCGCCGCAGUAA